ensembl:lncRNA
CCGGUUCUCGCUUGCCGAGAGCUCCAAACACGCUGCAACCAUCUUGACUUGGACUCAACCACUGCACUGUCGCCUGAGGCUGCCCAGUGUAGUCCUCCACGACGGCCGUCCAUAGAGCAAGGAAGCUCUGCCCUUCGUGCGUGAGAGCUUUCGAUGGUUAUGUGUGUGCAGAGCCACGAUUCUGCCUGCGACAAUCCGUGAGGCCUCCCCUCUCCCUCCGCCGCCAUGUUUCCGCGGACGCCUCUUCAGGCGCGUCACCCCCACCUGGGCUGACCCCGCCAGGACUUCUCCGCGGUUUGCGGGGCUCUGGGGGGCGCGCGCAGCCAGCAUCCGCGGCGCUCUCCGUGCUCUUGGGGACUCCCGGGCGCCGCCCACCGUCGUGUGACUCCGGCUAAGCGUCAGGGAGCUGAGCCCGAUCCCACACGCUAGGAUAAAAUAGCGAAGGAAAACGGGGCCGAAGUGGAGUACAGCGAUGUAUCAUCAUCCCUUCUCUGUCCCCUCGGGCGCGACUGAGUCUGACCACGUUCUCGGCCCCUUCGAAAACCUCGUCCAUAAAAGCUUAGUCUCAGCGUCCCUGGUCCCUAGUCCCCAGCUUCAGCCACCCACCCCAUCCGACACUGGUGUGAAGAGAAGGGAGUGCAUCCUGAGACCUGGACUUGUAGAUGGUGAAAAUGGAAUGAAUAAAUGGAAGAAGCUGUAAGCAAUGAAGGCAACCCAAACAAAAGAGUCUUCUCAGGACAGUGUUUAUCAACGUUUUAACUACAACCCAUACAUACAUUCUGUAUGUAAGUGGGGGACAUUUGAGGACAAGUGGUGUUGGAACCGGAACACUUGACAAAGAAUUUUAUGUGUCAAGGUUGUAUUACCUUCCUCUCAACCUCCUCUAAAAACGAUGUUUCAUUUCUAACAGUACAGUGGAUUCAAUACCUCAAAUGACCCUCUCGAUUGAAACAAUUUUAAUUAAACAACAUUUAAUCUUAAAUGUAUCACCAAGCUGGCACAAAAGAAAGAAAUCUACAGAAUUCACAAUGAAGUGAAAGUAGGAACACAGGUUGGAAAGCAAGGACCAAAGCUGAUCUUCACUCUGGGGGUGUCUUUAGAAAUUUGGGAACCUUUUUUUUUUGGUCUUUUUGUCUUUUUAGGGCUGCACCCAUGGCAUAUGGAGGUUCCCAGGCUAGGGGUCCAAUUGGAGCUGUAGUUGCCAGCCUGCACCACAGCCACAGCAAUGCCAGAUCUGAGCCACAUGUGCAAACUACACCAGAGCCCACGGCAAUGCCGGAUCCUUAACCCACUGAGUGAGGCCAGGGAUCGAACCCGCAACCUCAUGGUUCCUAGUCGGAUUCGUUUCCAUUGCACCACGAAGGGAACUCCAGAUUUGGGAACCUUGAGCUUCCACUUUGAUGGUUUCACAGGGCAUGGGACAGGAGGUACAGCCAAGGAAUUAUCCUGCAUAAAAUUGGGCGCUCAAAGGGUAUACCCCAGAACUACCUGUGUAAGGAAAAGGAGAAAUAAACCUCCACAUGGAAGGGAGCAGCAAGAAAUCUGGCCUGUGUCUUUCUGGAUGGUUGGAAAAAUGAUAAAUAUCUCCUCAGUAUUCACAACAACAAAUAAAAGCAAAAAUAAACCAAUGGGACCUAAUCAAACUGACAAGCUUUUGCACAGCAAAAGAAACCAUAAAAAACAAAAAGACAACUUAUGGAAUGGGAGAAAAUAGUUUCAAAUGAUGCAAGGGACAAGGGCGUAAUCUCUAGAAUAUACAAACAACCUAUACAACUCAAGAGGAAAAAAAGCCAACAACCCAAUUGAAAAAUGGGCAAAAGACCUGAAUAGACAUUUCUCCAAAGAAGAUAUACAGAUGGCCAACAAGCACAUGAAAAAAUGUUCAACAUCACUGAAUAUUAGAGAAAUACAAAUCAAAACUACUACAAGGUACCACCUCACCCCGGUCAGAAUGAUCACCAUUAGUAAGUCCACAAAUAGCAAAUGCUGGAGGGGAUGUGGAGAAAAGGGAACCCUCCUGCACUGUUGGUGGGAAUGUAAAUUGGUACAACUAUGGAGAACAGUGUGGAGUACCUUAGAAAACUAUACAUAGAACUACCAUAUGACCCAGCAAUCCCACUCUUGGGCAUAUAUCCAGGCAAAACUUUCCUCGAAAACGACACACGCACCCGCAUGUUCAUGGCAGCUCUGCUCACAAUAGCCAAGACAUGGAAACAACCUAAAUGUUUAUUGAUAGAUGAUUGGAUUAAGAAGAUGUGGUAUAUAUACACAAUGGAAUACUACUCGGCCACAAAAAAGAACAAAAUAAUGCCAUUUGCAGCAACAUGGAUGGAACUAGAGACUCUCGUACUAAGAGAAGUAAGUCAGAAAGAGAAAGGCAAAUACCAUAUGAUAUUGUUUAUGUCUGGAAUAUACUAUAUGGCAUGAAUGAACCUUUCCACAGAAAAGAAAAUCAUGGACAUGGAGAACAAACUUGUGGUUGCCAAGGGGAAGGGGAGGGAGUGGGAUGGAUUUGGAAUUUGGGGUUAAUAGAUGCAAACUAUUGCCUUUGGAAUGGAUAAGCAAUGAAAUCUUGCUGUAUAGAAGUGGGAACUAUGUCUAGUCACUUUUGAUGGAGCAUGAUAAUGUGAGAAAUAAGAAUGUAUACAUGUAUGUGUAACUGGGUCACCAUGCUGUAUAGUAGAAAAUUGACAGAACACUGUAAACCAGCUAUAAUGGAAAAAAAUAAAAAUCAUCAUGAAUAAAAAAAAAAAA